rnacentral:rRNA from 1 species
GACGAACGCUGGCGGCGUGCCUAAUACAUGCAAGUCGAACGCUUCUUUCCUCCCGAGUGCUUGCACUCAAUUGGAAAGAGGAGUGGCGGACGGGUGAGUAACACGUGGGUAACCUACCCAUCAGAGGGGGAUAACACUUGGAAACAGGUGCUAAUACCGCAUAACAGUUUAUGCCGCAUGGCAUAAGAGUGAAAGGCGCUUUCGGGUGUCGCUGAUGGAUGGACCCGCGGUGCAUUAGCUAGUUGGUGAGGUAACGGCACACCAAGGCCACGAUGCAUAGCCGACCUGAGAGGGUGAUCGGCCACACUGGGACUGGGACACGGCCCAGACUCCUACGGGAGGCAGCAGUAGGGAAUCUUCGGCAAUGGACGAAAGUCUGACCGAGCAACGCCGCGUGAGUGCAGAAGGUUUUCGGAUCGUAAAACUCUGUUGUUAGAGAAGAACAAGGACGUUAGUAACUGAACGUCCCCUGACGGUAUCUAACCAGAAAGCCACGGCUAACUACGUGC